AGUGAAGCGGGAUGAAGCUCAAAUUUAAAAUCUGGCCGGUUUACUGGUUCGAAUUGUAGUUUAAAGAAGCGUUUUCGGUGGCAGCCUGGGUAUAAAUCCUUUGGAAUAGGGUAUCAUAGAGGGUGAGAAUCCCGUCUUUGACUCAGUGCAUGCUACUAUGUGAUACGUUUUCAAAGAGUCGAGUUGUUUGGGAAUGCAGCUCAAAAUGGGUGGUAAAUCUCAUCUAAGGCUAAAUAUUGGCGAGAGACCGAUAGCGAACAAGUACCGUGAGGGAAAGAUGAAAAGAACUUUGAAAAGAGAGUUAAACAGUGCGUGAAAUUGUUGAAAGGGAAACGUUUGACACCAGUCAUGCGGGCGGAAAAUCAGUCUUUUGUAGUGGGGAAGCGCGUGGGUUCAGACCGCAAGGCUGGCCUAUGUGUUCUCUCUGCUGCGAGUGAUGCACUUUUUCGUCUGCAGGCCAACAUCAGUUUCCUCUGCUGGACAAAACUCUAAGAGAAGGUAGCAGCUUAGGCUGUGUUAUAGCUCUGGAGCGAUACAGUGGAGGAGACUGAGGUUUUCGCAGCGUGUGCUCUCGGGCAAGGCGGAUUGGGUGCUACGGGAUCGUUCGGCGUACAAUGCAUGCAUUUUGCGCCGUGUCCUUUUCGUACUCGCUCAACUCUGCUCUUCCACGCUUAGGAUGUUGGCAUAAUGGUUUUAACCGACC
rnacentral:rRNA from 1 species